AAGAUCGCAAGAGACCAGUAGAAAUGUCAGAAUGUGCAAGCGAAGAAAGGAUAGAGGAAUGAGUGAGAAAGUAAAGAACCCGCAUUAUGUGGAAGAAGCGGAAAAUACAACUCAAAAGGCAUGCUUAGUUGUGAAGUUGACUAGCUAUAGCUAGCUCUUUGCUAUUUGUUACUCUACCAGAGUAUCACAGAAAAAGAAGAGGGCUGAGUCUGAAAAAAAAAAAAAAACAUCAGGCAGAACUAAUGACCAGUGUAUCACGUCAAGCCAGACCGCAGUGACCUCACCUUAGUGUCAAAACAGGAAAUGCAAAUGCAGCUAACCACUGCAAACUUUCAAAUAUGGAUCUCAAAAGAGAAAAUGCAACACUCAGACAAUCUCUCUCCAUGAUUGAAGACAUGGCUGGUGGUUUGAGACCCAUCCCCAAAUCUCACAAUGACAUCAUGGCUGGUGAAUCCACACCCUUCCUCCAACCCCCAAAAGCAGCAGUCCAAGACAUAGCCAUCACAACCCUACCAGACAUUAUGGUAGGGUGACUUCAAAUCUUGAGCUGUAAAGCGGGGAUGCAAACUAGUCACAAUUUGAAUACAAAAGCAGGUGUAUUAACAUUGUAACAACACAGCAAGCAGAAAAAUACUGUAUGCAUGUGCAAUUUUGCUUACCGUAAAUUCCGGACUAUAAGCCGCAACUUUUUUCCCAGGCUUUGAACCUCGCGGGUGGCUAAUAUAUGGAUUUUUCCCGCUUUCAAAUUUUUUUUUCUCCAAAAAAACACAUUCUGUGACGUGCUCAGUUUUUUGGUGGCAUGAAGCUUUCAUUAGACCAAUGAAAUUGCCGAACGGGUGAAGGUCAAACAACGUUUUUGUUUACUGUUUAGAUUAAAUCGAGCGCUCUCAAACUUCCCAUCAUUCUGAUUACGGUAGUCAAUUUGUCACCCUCAUCAUGGCAAAGACACAGAGAAAUGCAUAUGAUGCAGCUUUCAAGUUGAAGGCGAUUGAUCUGGCUGUUGGAAAAGGAAAUAGAGCUGCUGCACGGGAGCUUGGUCUUAAUGAGUCGAUGAUAGGACGUUGGAAACAGCAGCGUGAGGAAUUGACUCAAAAGACAACUAAAGCUUACUGCUAAUUUUUUAUUUUUUGUUACAAGCCGUGUUUCCUUAAAGCCUAUUUAUUUUUGUUACAAGCCGUGUUUCGUUAAAGCCUAUUUAUUUUUGUUACAAGCCGUGUUUCGUUAAAGCCUAUUUAUUUUUGUUACAAGCCGUGUUUCGUUAAAGCCUGUGUAAAGUUCAUUUGUUUCAAUGUACCGGUAGGCACCUGCGGCUUAUAGACAUGUGCGGCUUAUUUAUGUUCAAAAUAAUAUAUAUUUUUUAAUUCAGUGGUUGCGGCUUAUAUUCAGGUGCGCUUAAUAGUCCGGAAAUUACGGUAAUUUAAUGUAAAUGUUUAUUGCAUAUUGUAGUACAAUGAUAAUUUGUCUUAUAAGUGUUUUAACUUAUAGAGCGCCAUAUACCAUAUACCAUUAGUAUAUCUUUGUAUAUUGGUAUAGUAAUGUAUAAUAUUAGUUAUUGCUAUAGUAUCACUAUAAGAAGAUGUUAUAGUAUUCCUUUAAGAUAACUAUAGUUAUUCUAUACUAUGUCUGAAUUUACCAUAAG
rnacentral:lncRNA from 8 species